rnacentral:rRNA from 1 species
ACGGGUGAGGAAUACAUCGGAAUCUGCCUUGUUGUGGGGGAUAACGUAGGGAAACUUACGCUAAUACCGCAUAAGACCGAAAGGUGAAAGUGGGGGACCGCAAGGCCUCACGCGACAAGAUGAGCCGAUGUCGGAUUAGCUAGUUGGUGAGGUAAUGGCUCACCAAGGCGACGAUCCGUAGCUGGUCUGAGAGGAUGAUCAGCCACACUGGAACUGAGACACGGUCCAGACUCCUACGGGAGGCAGCAGUGGGGAAUAUUGGACAAUGGGCGCAAGCCUGAUCCAGCCAUGCCGCGUGGGUGAAGAAGGCCUUCGGGUUGUAAAGCCCUUUUGUUGGGGAAGAAAUCGUACGGGGUAAUAUCCCGUGCGGAUGACGGUACCCAAAGAAUAAGCACCGGCUAACUUCGUGCCAGCAGCCGCGGUAAUACGAAGGGUGCAAGCGUUACUCGGAAUUACUGGGCGUAAAGCGUGCGUAGGCGGUUCGUUAAGUCUGUCGUGAAAGCCCUGGGCUCAACCUGGGAAUUGCGAUGGAUACUGGCGAGCUAGAGUACGGUAGAGGAUGGUGGAAUUCCCGGUGUAGCGGUGA